rnacentral:rRNA from 1 species
GACGAACGCUGGCGGCGUGCUUAACACAUGCAAGUCGAACGCUGAAGCUCAGCUUUUGUUGGGUGGAUGAGUGGCGAACGGGUGAGUAACACGUGAGUAACCUGCCUCCUUCUUUGGGAUAACGCCCGGAAACGGGUGCUAAUACUGGAUAUUCACUGGUCUUCGCAUGGGGGUUGGUGGAAAGGGGUUUUCUGGUGGGGGAUGGGCUCGCGGCCUAUCAGCUUGUUGGUGGGGUGAUGGCCUACCAAGGCUUUGACGGGUAGCCGGCCUGAGAGGGUGACCGGUCACAUUGGGACUGAGAUACGGCCCAGACUCCUACGGGAGGCAGCAGUGGGGAAUAUUCCACAAUGGGCGCAAGCCUGAUGCAGCGACGCCGCGUGAGGGAUGGAGGCCUUCGGGUUGUGAACCUCUUUCGCUCAUGGUCAAGCCGCAACAAUGGUUGUGGUGAGGGUAGUGGGUAAAGAAGCGCCGGCUAACUACGUG